rnacentral:rRNA from 1 species
GCUCAGUAAACCAGUCAUGAUUCACUCGAGUAUACAUGACUGUCUUUGGAUAACUGUGGUAAUCCUAGAGCUAAUACAUGCAACCAAGUCCCGACCAGCCUGUCUGGAAAGGACGCUUUUAUUAGAUCAAGACCAAUCGCCCGGCUCGUCCGGGCGUUGCCUUGGUGACUCUAGGUAACACAUCAGAUCGCAUGGCCUCGCGCCGGCGACUUAUCCUUCAAAUGCCUGACUUAUCAACUGUCGAUGGUAGACUCUAUGUCUACCAUGGUUGUAACGGGUAACGGGGAAUCAGGGUUCGAUUCCGGAGAGGGAGCCUGAGAAACGGCUACCACAUCCAAGGAAGGCAGCAGGCACGCAAAUUACCCACUCCCGGAACGGGGAGGUAGUGACAAAAAAUAACGAUACGGGACUCAUUUGAGGCCCCGUAAUCGGAAUGAGUACACUUUAAAUCCUUUAACAAGGAUCCAUUGAAGGGCAAGUCUGGUGCCAGCAGCCGCGGUAAUUCCAGCUUCAAUAGCGUAUAUUAAAGUUGUUGCGGUUAAAAAGCUCGUAGUUGGUUCUGCGUGCUACGCUGUCGGUUCGCCGCCUGUCGGUGUAACUGGCAUGCCGUGGCAUGUCCUGCCGGUGGCGUACGGGAGCUUUGCCAGGUGUCGACAACGGGUCUAAUAGCUCGAUGUCGGAGGCCGGAGGUCCAACCCGUGCGCCUACUCUAUCCUACCUAGGUGCUCUUCACCGAGUGUCGAGGUAGGCCGGUACGUUUACUUUGAACAAAUUAGAGUGCUCAAAGCAGGCUGAAAUUUCUGCCUGAAUAGUGGUGCAUGGAAUAAUAAAACAGGACCUUGGUUCUAUUUUGUUGGUUCUUAGGAACACAAGGUAAUGAUCAAUACGGACAGGCGGGGGCAUUCGUAUUGCGACGUUAGAGGUGAAAUUCUUGGAUCGUCGCAAGACGCACAAGAGCGAAAGCAUUUGCCCAGCCAGCGAUCCGCCGAUGUUCCUCCGAUGACUCGGCGGGGAGCUUCUUCCCGGGAAACCAAAGCUUUUGGGUUCCGGGGGAAGUAUGGUUGCAAAGCUGAAACUUAAAGGAAUUGACGGAAGGGCACCACCAGGAGUGGAGCCUGCGGCUUAAUUUGACUCAACACGGGAAACCUCACCAGGCCAGGACAUUGGAAGGAUUGACAGAUUGAUAGCUCUUUCUUGAUUCAGUGGGUAGUGGUGCAUGGCCGUUCUUAGUUGGUGGAACGAUUUGUCUGGUUAAUUCCGAUAACGAACGAGACUCUAGCCUAUUAACUAGGCGUCAUCCGGUGUCCCUGCCACCGGCGACAAUCAUUCUUCUUAAGGGGACAGGCGGCUUAUAGCCGCACGAGAUUGAGCAAUAACAGGUCUGUGAUGCCCUUAGAUGUCCUGGGCCGCACGCGCGCUACACUGAAGGAUUCAGCGUGUGCGCCCCUGGCCGUGAGGUCUGGGUAACCCAGUUAACCUCCUGCGUGCUAGGAAUUGGGGCUUGCAAUUGUUCCCCAUGAACGAGGAAUUCCCAGUAAGCGCGAGUCAUUAGCUCGCGUUGAUUACGUCCCUGCCCUUUGUACACACCGCCCGUCGCUACUACCGAUUGAAUGAUUUAGUGAGGUCUUCGGACUGGCGGUAAUUAUUAUCGACUUGUCGGUAUUAAUGAACGUUGGAAAGAUGACCAAACUUGAUCAUUUAGAGGAAGUAAAAGUCGUAACAAGGUUUCCGUA